GAUGAACGCUGGCGGCGUGCUUAACACAUGCAAGUCGAACGGAAAGGCUCCUGCUUGCAGGGGUACUCGAGUGGCGAACGGGUGAGUAACACGUGGGUGAUCUGCCCUGCACUUCGGGAUAAGCCUGGGAAACUGGGUCUAAUACCGGAUAGGACGAUGGUUUGGAUGCCAUUGUGGAAAGUUUUUUCGGUGUGGGAUGAGCUCGCGGCCUAUCAGCUUGAUGGUGGGGUAAUGGCCUACCAAGGCGUCGACGGGUAGCCGGCCUGAGAGGGUGUACGGCCACAUUGGGACUGAGAUACGGCCCAGACUCCUACGGGAGGCAGCAGUGGGGAAUAUUGCACAAUGGGCGCAAGCCUGAUGCAGCGACGCCGCGUGGGGGAUGACGGCCUUCGGGUUGUAAACUCCUUUCGCUAGGGACGAAGCGCAAGUGACGGUACCUGGAGAAGAAGCACCGGCUAACUACGU
rnacentral:rRNA from 1 species